CACGGACUUCGGUCUGGUGGCGAGUGGCGAACGGGUGAGUAACAUAUCGGAACGUAUCCAAUAAUGGGGGAUAACUAAUCGAAAGGUUGGCUAAUACCGCAUACGCCCUACGGGGGAAAGCAGGGGAUCUUCGGACCUUGCGUUAAUGGAGCGGCUGAUAUCUGAUUAGCUAGUUGGUGAGGUAAAGGCUCACCAAGGCGACGAUCAGUAGCUGGUCUGAGAGGACGACCAGCCACACUGGAACUGAGACACGGUCCAGACUCCUACGGGAGGCAGCAGUGGGGAAUUUUGGACAAUGGGCGCAAGCCUGAUCCAGCCAUUCCGCGUGAGUGAAGAAGGCCUUCGGGUUGUAAAGCUCUUUCGCAAGGGAAGAAAACUUACUUUCUAAUAAAGAGUGAGGUUGACGGUACCUUGAUAAGAAGCACCGGCUAACUACGUGCCAGCAGCCGCGGUAAUACGUAGGGUGCGAGCGUUAAUCGGAAUUACUGGGCGUAAAGCGUGCGCAGGCGGCCUUAAAAGUCAGAUGUGAAAUCCCCGAGCUCAACUUGGGAACUGCGUUUGAAACUCUAAGGCUAGAAUAUGUCAGAGGGGGGUAGAAUUCCACGUGUAGCAGUGAAAUGCGUAGAGAUGUGGAGGAAUACCAAUGGCGAAGGCAGCCCCCUGGGAUAAUAUUGACGCUCAUGCACGAAAGCGUGGGGAGCAAACAGGAUUAGAUACCCUGGUAGUCCACGCCCUAAACGAUGUCUACUAGUUGUUGGUGGAGUAAAAUCCAUGAGUAACGCAGCUAACGCGUGAAGUAGACCGCCUGGGGAGUACGGUCGCAAGAUUAAAACUCAAAUGAAUUGACGGGGGCCCGCACAAGCGGUGGAUUAUGUGGAUUAAUUCGAUGCAACGCGAAAAACCUUACCUGGCCUUGACAUGUA
rnacentral:rRNA from 1 species